AUGGAGGCUGUGGGUGGGAGAGAAGCACUUCCCAACUGUUGCUAAUAAUUAAACUUGCAGUAGCUGCUGGUGGGCCACACAGGCACAAACCUGGCAAAGUCUCCAUCAGUCCUGAUGGGUUUUCCUUACAGCCAACAGCUGUAGGCCAUUAGUUACUCUUUGGGGCCCCAGGAUUCUUCUCGGAUGGCUCGGUCUCCCUCACAGCCUCCUCCAGGAAGGAGGCUUGGUUCUCCCAGGAGAAUUGCAACUGAGAAGGACAGCACCAAGCUGGCUUUCAGAGAGGUGGGGCAGCAGAUUGAUGGAUUUGGGAACAGAAGGGUCAAGACCUCCUCUGUCCUCUGUAGAUCUUCAGGCCCUGAUUUGAAAUGACGUGUGUGCUCAGCCCUAGACUUUCAAGGCAGCUUCAAGUGAGAUAUGUUCUGACCAGAUUCCAGCCUCCAGUCCCUGUUCCCAGCCCUUCACCAGAGCCGUCGGGUAAAUUUUCUAAUCCUCUCCGGGACAUUCCUAUUUCCUGCCGAGAAGUAAGAAAACAACAGUGCUUCCCUAAGGGCAGUGUGCCUCAGCCCUGCCUCGCAAUCUCCAUUUUAGGAAAAAUGUUUCCCCGAGCACGAAUCCUCUGAAAGGAAAAGGCCUGUGAGUCUCCUGGGAAAGAAUAUGAGACCCCACCGUGAGGAUUUGCCGUAGAAUUUCGCUGCAUUCCUCUGCGGGACUGGGCUGUCUAGGAAGUUCAUUUUGAUUUAAAAAUAUAUCAGAAUGGAAAUGUGUUUGUGUGAGUAGGCGUGUGAAACAGAUUUGAAAAAAAGACAGGCAAAAAUAAAAUGGGGAGAUAAGGAGAGAGGUCAAAGGCAAAUAGUUCUUUCCUUCUAAAAGGAUCUCUUCAGAGUGCUUGGAUUUUUUAUUAUGGAAAUACUCAAAACAUUCAAAACUAGAGAAAAUAGUCUAAUGAACCACUGGGUACCCCUCAUCCCACUUCAACAAUUAUCAACAUUGCCAACCUUUAUCACUUAUCUGCUCCUCUUCUUUUUUUUGCACUAGAGUUGGGCCUGGCCAAAUCCAUGGCCAAAACCAACUUGCCUCUUGUUUUUCAGGGAAAGAAAAAAAGUUUUACUGGAACACAGCCAUGCCCAAUGGUUUCUAUUGUCUAUACCUGUGUUCGCAUCACAGCAGCAGAGGUGAAUAGUUGUGACAGAAAUCGUGUGACCCACGUGCCUAAAAUAUUUCUUGUCUGGUCUUUCACAGAAAACAUUUACACACACACACAACCCUGUGCACGUGCACACCUGCUCUGUCAUGUCCUACUGU